UCAUUUGUACAAGUUUCUUCUUCCCUGUUACUGUCAACAAGUUCCCUUCUUUUUACAUCAUGACAAGUGAAUUUCACCUUCAACUCCAUUUCUACCACCAUGGGCCUCGGUGAUCUUCACAACUGUACCCUGAUUCUUACUAUGUUGCUUAGCUUGAUGCUGAGACCAGUAUGCGUGAGCAGCCAAGACCCUGUCUAACACCUCCUGAGGCACAGGUUCACCCCUUCUUUGCUGAGGGGCAAUCUUAGCCGUGUGAACCAAUGUCUUCCAUUUAUCCUUCAAGUCCACAUAAGUUCGAUGGUCAGCAUUUUCAAAAGAUCGCAACUUAACAUCACGCCACCUUCCAGUUCCAAGCUCCUCAACUGCCUGCACUAGUGCUUCUACUUCUAAGACAGAGAACGGUCUCCUGGUUCGACGCUGUACAAGUUCAGAUCGCCUAGCUUUCUGGUUAACAGGAACAAUAGCAAGUGCCUCAACACUAACAGGUGGAACUGGAACCAGAGCUCUGGAAUCUGACAGUGUUUUGUCGGCUAAUUUGUCAGUAUGAGAGGAACCUGAUUCGUGAUUACUGUCAAUGUUAUUG
rnacentral:misc_RNA from 1 species